rnacentral:rRNA from 1 species
GAUGAACGCUAGCGACAGGCUUAACACAUGCAAGUCGAGGGGCAGCGAGGGCGUAGCAAUACGCCUGUCGGCGACCGGCGCACUGGUGAGUAACACGUAUGCGACCUGCCCCCUACAGGGGUAUAACCCGUAGAAAUGCGGACUAAUCCCCCAUAGUCCUGGGUGCUGCAUGGCAUUCAGGGGAAAGGGUUUCCGGUAGGGGAUGGGCAUGCGGCGCAUUAGCUAGUUGGCGGGGCAACGGCCCACCAAGGCGACGAUGCGUAGGGGUUCUGAGAGGAAGGCCCCCCACACUGGGACUGAGACACGGCCCAGACUCCUACGGGAGGCAGCAGUGAGGAAUAUUGGACAAUGGAGGCAACUCUGAUCCAGCCAUGCCGCGUGAAGGACUAAGGCCCUAUGGGCUGUAAACUUCUUUAGACGCAGAGCAAUAAGGGCCACGUGUGGUCCGAUGAGAGUAUGCGUAGAAUAAGCAUCGGCUAACUCCGUG